GUGAGGAAUAUUGGUCAAUGGACGGAAGUCUGAACCAGCCAUGCCGCGUGCAGGAAUAAGGUCCUAUGGAUUGUAAACUGCUUUUAUUCGGGAAUAAACCUCUUUACGUGUAGGGAGCUGAAGGUACCGAAGGAAUAAGCACCGGCUAACUCCGUGCCAGCAGCCGCGGUAAUACGGAGGGUGCAAGCGUUAUCCGGAAUCAUUGGGUUUAAAGGGUCCGCAGGCGGGCUAUCAAGUCAGAGGUGAAAUCCCACAGCUUAACUGUGGAACUGGCUUUGAAACUGAUGGUCUUGAAUUAAGUGGGCGUUGGCGGAAUAUGACAUGUAGCGGUGAAAUGCAUAGAUAUGUCAUGGAACACCGAAAGCGAAGGCAGCUAACGAUACUUAUAUUGACGCUCAUGGACGAAAGCGUGGGUAGCGAACAGGAUUAGAAACCCGAGUAGUCC
rnacentral:rRNA from 1 species